rnacentral:rRNA from 1 species
UACGUAGGGCGCAAGCGUUGUCCGGAAUUAUUGGGCGUAAGAGCUCGUAGGUGGUUUGUUACGUCUGCUGUGAAAACCUAGGGCUUAACCCUGGGCCUGCAGUGGAUACGGGCAGACUAGAGGUAGGUAGGGGAGAAUGGAAUUCCCGGUGGUAGCGGUGAAUGACGCAGAUAUCGGGAGGAACACCGGUGGCGAAGGCGGUUCUCUGGGCCUUACCUGACACUGAGGAGCGAAAGCGUGGGGAGCGAACGAGG